GCCCGGGUGGCUCAGUCAGUAAAGCAUCUGACAUCAGCUCAGGACACAAUCUCCUUGUUUGUGGGUUCGAGCCCCACAACGGGCU
rnacentral:tRNA from 1 species